ACCAAGAUAGCUCCGUUGGUAGAACAGAGGAUUGAAAAUUCUCGUAUCACCGGUUCAAAUCUGGUUCUUGACA
rfam:Cucumis melo, WGS project CAJI01000000 data, contig: 04656